rnacentral:misc_RNA from 1 species
AACGCACAUUGCGCCCCCUGGUAUUCCGGGGGGCAUGCCUGUCCGAGCGUCAUUGCUGCCCUCAAGCACGGCUUGUGUGUUGGGUCGCCGUCCCCUUCCCGGGGGACGGGCCCGAAAGGCAGCGGCGGCACCGCGUCCGGUCCUCGAGCGUAUGGGGCUUUGUCACCCGCUCUGUAGGCCCGGCCGGCGCCUGCCGACCACCAACCUUUUUUUUACCAGGUUGACCUCGGAUCAGGUAGGGAUACCCGCUGAACUUAA